CUAGUUCAAACCGCUUGUCUCAGGACCGUUGAGGGGAGAAGUUCCAGAACGUGGAGACUGAAGUUUACGAAGAGAAGCUGUGAUCAGAGGCCUCAUUCUCUACCUUGGUGAAAAGACGGAGGAGCUAAUCAAGGACUACAAGGUUUUUGAUGAUGACGAUGUUGGGACUGUACAAGAGGCCCUUACUACACAAGUCCUCAACAUCUUUGUGGUCAGCAAAGCCAGAGAUGGAGAUCUCCAGAAGCAGGCUGGAAUAGCCAUCGAGGGAGCAGAGGUCCUUUUUGGUAUCCCUGAUGUUGCACAUGCUUGUACCUACCUGAUGGGCCUCAUCUACGCCUUGGAACUAAGGUACCCUAACAAACUGAAAUACACCUUUGAGGUUUUUCAGAAGAUCUUUCUAGAGCUGGAGGAUGUCAACCAAAAGGUGUCCUCCAAGGUCCACGAUCUGAAGGUCAGUUUACAUGCCUAAAAGCCAUACAGACAUUGCUGAAGCUCCCUCUUGUCAAGGUUUACAGUUUUUGGUUAUACAUUGCACUUUCACAGG
ensembl:lncRNA